UGGGGACUUCUGUUGAUGGGCGUCCCCUGACCCCUUGUGCUAACCGCUAGCUGUUGCUAACUACGAUAGCACGCGCUUAAUCGCUAGCUCUAUUCGGAGCUAACGCGUCAGCGUGUGUGUAAACUCACUGUAUUGGCUUACAUUUCUUCCUAUUUAACGCAUAGGCUUCGGACAAGCGUGGGAGUCUUUACACCGCUGUCUACUUUCUUAUCAACACCCCCUCGCAAAGAAAAAGGAAAAAAUAAUAAAUAUAUAAUCGCAUUGUGGAGGUGCCGGGAAUUAAACCCGGAUCCAGCGGAUUAUUGCAUUGCCACUUGUUUAUUGUCAUAGCUAAGUUAGC
rnacentral:tmRNA from 1 species